UGGGGAAUAUUGGGCAAUGGGCGAAAGCCUGACCCAGCAACGCCGCGUGAAGGAAGAAGGCCUUCGGGUUGUAAACUUCUUUGACCAGGGACGAAACAAAUGACGGUACCUGGAAAACAAGCCACGGCUAACUACGUGCCAGCAGCCGCGGUAAUACGUAGGGAGCGAGCGUUGUCCGGAUUUACUGGGUGUAAAGGGUGCGUAGGCGGCUCUGCAAGUCAGGUGUGAAAACUAUCGGCUUAACUGAUAGACUGCACUUGAAACUGUGGAGCUUGAGUGAAGUAGAGGCAGACGGAAUUCCCGGUGUAGCGGUGAAAUGCGUAGAGAUCGGGAGGAACACCAGUGGCGAAGGCGGUCUGCUGGGCUUUAACUGACGCUGAGGCACGAAAGCAUGGGUAGCAAACAGG
rnacentral:rRNA from 1 species